GAUGAACGCUGGCGGCGCGCCUAACACAUGCAAGUCGAACGAUUAAAGCACCUUCGGGUGUGUAUAAAGUGGCGAACGGCUGAGUAACACGUGGGCAACCUGCCCCUCUCAUUGGGAUAGCCACGGGAAACCGUGGAUAAUACCGAAUACUUCGAGUCUCCCGCAUGGAAGACUCGAGAAAGCUCCGGCGGAGAGGGAUGGGCCCGCGGCCUGUUAGCUUGUUGGUGGGGUAACGGCCUACCAAGGCAAUGAUGGGUAGCUGGGUUGAGAGACCGACCAGCCAGAUUGGGACUGAGACACGGCCCAGACUCCUACGGGAGGCAGCAGUGGGGAAUCUUGCACAAUGGGCGGAAGUCUGAACCAGCCAAGUAGCGUGCAGGAUGACGGCCCUAUGGGUUGUAAACUGCUUUUGUAUGGGGAUAAAGUUAGGGACGUGUCCCUAUUUGCAGGUACCAUACGAAUAAGGACCGGCUAAUUCCGUGCCAGCAGCCGCGGUAAUACGGAAGGUCCAGGCGUUAUCCGGAUUUAUUGGGUUUAAAGGGAGCGUAGGCUGGAGAUUAAGUGUGUUGUGAAAUGUAGACGCUCAACGUCUGAAUUGCAGCGCAUACUGGUUUCCUUGAGUACGCACAACGUUGGCGGAAUUCGUCGUGUAGCGGUGAAAUGCUUAGAUAUGACGAAGAACUCCGAUUGCGAAGGCAGCUGACGGGAGCGCAACUGACGCUUAAGCUCGAAGGUGCGGGUAUCAAACAGG
rnacentral:rRNA from 1 species